AUUGAACGCUGGCGGCAGGCUUAACACAUGCAAGUCGAGCGGUAACAUUUCAAAGCUUGCUUUGAAGAUGACGAGCGGCGGACGGGUGAGUAAUGCUUGGGAAUAUGCCUUAGGGUGGGGGGACAACAGUUGGAAGCGACUGCUAAUACCGCAUAACGUCUACGGACCAAAGAGGGGGAUCUUCGGACCUCUCGCCCUUUGAUUAGCCCAAGUGAGAUUAGCUAGUUGGUAAGGUAAUGGCUACCAAGGCGACGAUCCCUAGCUGGUCUGAGAGGAUGAUCAGCCACACUGGAACUGAGACACGGUCCAG
rnacentral:rRNA from 1 species